CCUACGGGUGGCUGCAGUGGGGAAUAUUGGACAAUGGGGGGAACCCUGAUCCAGCCAUGCCGCGUGUGUGAAGAAGGCCCUCGGGUUGUAAAGCACUUUCAGUGAGGAAGAACGCCUGGUGGUUAAUACCCAUCAGGAAAGACAUCACUCACAGAAGAAGCACCGGCUAACUCCGUGCCAGCAGCCGCGGUAAUACGGAGGGUGCGAGCGUUAAUCGGAAUUACUGGGCGUAAAGCGCGCGUAGGUGGCUUGAUAAGCCGGUUGUGAAAGCCCCGGGCUCAACCUGGGAACGGCAUCCGGAACUGUCAAGCUAGAGUGCAGGAGAGGAAGGUAGAAUUCCCGGUGUAGCGGUGAAAUGCGUAGAGAUCGGGAGGAAUACCAGUGGCGAAGGCGGCCUUCUGGACUGACACUGACACUGAGGUGCGAAAGCGUGGGUAGCACACAGGAUUAGAUACCCUGGUAGUC
rnacentral:rRNA from 1 species